rnacentral:rRNA from 1 species
AAAGGUAAGCUACUAAGAGCGAAUGGUGGAUGCCUUGACUGGUAAAGGCGAUGAAGGACGUACUAGACUGCGAUAAGCUACGGGGAGCUGUCAAGAAGCUUUGAUCCGUAGAUUUCCGAAUGGGGCAACCCAAUGUAUAGAGAUAUACAUUACCUAUAUAGGAGCGAACGAGGGGAAUUGAAACAUCUUAGUACCCUCAGGAAAAGAAAUCAAUAGAGAUUGCGUCAGUAGCGGCGAGCGAAAGCGCAAGAGGGCAAACCCAGUGCUUGCACUGGGGGUUGUAGGACUGCAAUGUGCAAGAGGUAAGUUUAGCAGAACAUUCUGGAAAGUAUAACCAUAGAGGGUGAUAGUCCCGUAUGCGAAAAACAAACCUUAGCUAGCAGUAUCCUGAGUAGGGCGGGACACGAGGAAUCCUGUCUGAAUCCGGGUCGACCACGAUCCAACCCUAAAUACUAAUACCAGAUCGAUAGUGCACAAGUACCGUGAGGGAAAGGUGAAAAGAACUGAGGUGAUCAGAGUGAAAUAGAACCUGAAACCAUUUGCUUACAAUCAUUCAGAGC